rnacentral:rRNA from 1 species
ACAAGCUGUUAAGAGCAUAUGGCGGAUGCCUUGGUGCUAACAGGCGAUGAAGGACGUGAUAAGCUGCGAUAAGCUUCGGAUAGCGGCAAGUACGCUUUGACCCGGAGAUUUCCGAAUGGGGUAACCUGGCCGGGGUAAUACUCGGUCGUCCCGCUCUGAAUACAUAGGAGCGGGUUCGCGAUACCUGGUGAAGUGAAACAUCUCAGUAACCAGAGGAAAAGAAAGAGAAUCGAUUCCGUAAGUAGUGGCGAGCGAAAGCGGAACAGCCCAAACCGGGGCCUUUGGUCCCGGGGUUUCGGGCCCCGACGUGGGAUCGAUGACGCUAGAUCAAGUGUGUGGAAAAGCACCCCAAAGAAGGUGAAAGGCCUGUGAUCGAAAGCUGAGUCGACCCUAGGGUGUCCCAGAGUAGUGCGGCACACGUGGAACGUUGCACGAAGAUACGCCGACCACGGCGAAAGGCUAAAUACUAGUUAGCGACCGAUAGUGAACCAGUACCGCGAGGGAAAGGUGAAAAGUACCGCUGUGAGCGGAGUGAAAUAGAACCUGAAACCAUAUGCUUACAAGGAGUCAGAGCCCCUUUGGGGUGAUGGCGUGCCUUUUGCUUAAUGAGUCUGCGAGUUAGUGUUUGUAGCAAGCUUAAGUCCUUCUGGGACGCAGGCGCAGCGAAAGCGAGUCCGAAUAGGGCGAUUUAGUUGCAGGCACUAGACCCGAAGCGGAGGUGACCUACCCAUGGCCAGGUUGAAGCGUGAGUAAUUUCACGUGGAGGACCGAACCGGUGAACGUUGAAAAGUUCUCGGAUGAGCUGUGGGUAGGAGUGAAAGGCUAAUCAAACCCCGUGAUAGCUGGUUCUCCCCGAAAUGCAUUUAGGUGCAGCGUCGUAUGCUGACUACCGGGGGUAGAGCACUGAAUGAACUAGGGCCCACACCCGGGUACCGACUUCAACCAAACUCCGAAUACCGGUAGGUGUAGUACGGCAGUGAGAAAGUGGGGGAUAAGCUUCAUUUUCAAAAGGGAAACAGCCCAGAUCAGCAGCUAAGGUGCCAAAAUGACGCUAAGUGGAAAGGAGGUGGGAUUACUUAGACAGUGAGGAUGUUGGCUUAGAAGCAGCCACCAUUUAAAAAGUGCGUAAUAGCUUACUCAUCGAGUGAUCCUGCGCCUAAAAUGAUUGGCGAUAAGCGUCAUACCGAAGCUCUGGACACGCUUUGCGUGUGGUAGAGGAGCAUUCCCGGAGCCUUGAAGCAGGAGGGCGACCGACUGUGGAGUUCCGGGAAGAGAGAAUGCAGACAUGAGUAACGAUAAGAGAGGUGAAAUUCCUCUCCGCCGUAAACCCAAGGUUUCCUGGGCAAUGUUCAUCAUCCCAGGGUUAGUCGGGACCUAAGUCGAGGCCGAUAGGCGUAGGCGAUGGAUAGCAGGUUAAUAUUCCUGCACUCCCUGAUCCCAAAGCACCAGGGACACAGGCUGGAGGACAACUAGGUAAUUGAAUUCCGAGGUGCGGCUACGGCCAAUCCGUAUUGUUCGAAGGACUGUCAAGAAAAGCUGGUGUGUCGUGCUAAGGGGACCCGUACCGUAAACCGACACAGGUGGGUGGGUAGAAUAUACCAAGGCGUAAGAGUGAAACCUGGUUAAGGAACUCGGCAAAAUAGCCCCGUAACUUCGGAAUAAGGGGUGCCCUCUUCGGAGGGCCGCAGUGAAAUGGAUCAACCGACUGUUUAGCAAAAACACAGCAUUCUGCGAAGACGCAAGUCGAUGUAUAGGAUGUGACACGUGACCAAUGCCGAAAGAUUAAGGCAAGGGGUUAGCGCAAGCGAAGCUCUGAACCCAAGUCCCGGUGAAUGUCGGCCGUAACUAUAACGGUCCUAAGGUAGCGAAAUUCCUUGUCGGGU